UAAUAAUAAUAACAACUUGUAAAGUGUAAUAUUAUAAUAUAAGACAUGAUUAUUUAUAAUCCAAUCUAAUAUUGCACCAAACACAACAUAAUAUUAUAUAUAACCCAAUAUUAUCCAAUCCAAUCUUAUCUUAUUCAAUCCGAUCCAAUCCAAUGUAAUCCAAUCCAACAUACCAAACAAUCCCUAAGGCUAUGUUCGAUUGUAGGGAAAGAGAGGAGAUGAGAGGAGAGGAAAAGAGAGGUGGAGAAAGGAAAGAAGAAGAAGAAGAAAAGGAUAGGGAGUUUAAUUUCCUUUGUUCGUUUUAAGAUAAAAUUAGUAAAAGAAAGGAAUUUUAGAAUU
rnacentral:lncRNA from 1 species